rnacentral:rRNA from 1 species
AACGAACGCUGGCGGCAUGCCUAACACAUGCAAGUCGAACGAGACCUUCGGGUCUAGUGGCGCACGGGUGCGUAACGCGUGGGAACCUGCCCUUAGGUUCGGAAUAACUCCCCGAAAGGGGUGCUAAUACCGGAUAAUGUCUUCGGACCAAAGAUUUAUCGCCUUUGGAUGGGCCCGCGUUGGAUUAGCUAGUUGGUAGGGUAAAAGCCUACCACGGCGACGAUCCAUAGCUGGUCUGAGAGGAUGAUCAGCCACACUGGGACUGAGACACGGCCCAGACUCCUACGGGAGGCAGCAGUGGGGAAUAUUGGACAAUGGGCGAAAGCCUGAUCCAGCAAUGCCGCGUGAGUGAUGAAGGCCUUAGGGUUGUAAAGCUCUUUUACCCGGGAUGAUAAUGACAGUACCGGGAGAAUAAGCUCCGGCUAACUACGUG